UACGUAGGGUGCGAGCGUUGUCCGGAAUUAUUGGGCGUAAAGAGCUUGUAGGCGGUUUGUCGCGUCUGCUGUGAAAAUCCGGGGCUCAACUCCGGACUUGCAGUGGGUACGGGCAGACUAGAGUGUGGUAGGGGAGACUGGAAUUCCUGGUGUAGCGGUGGAAUGCGCAGAUAUCAGGAGGAACACCGAUGGCGAAGGCAGGUCUCUGGGCCACUACUGACGCUGAGAAGCGAAAGCAUGGGGAGCGAACAGG
rnacentral:rRNA from 2 species